GCGUAGUCGAUGGGAAACAGGUUAAUAUUCCUGUACUUGGUGUUACUGCGAAGGGGGGACGGAGAAGGCUAUGUUGGCCGGGCGACGGUUGUCCCGGUUUAAGCGUGUAGGCUGGUUUUCCAGGCAAAUCCGGAAAAUCAAGGCUGAGGCGUGAUGACGAGGCACUACGGUGCUGAAGCAACAAAUGCCCUGCUUCCAGGAAAAGCCUCUAAGCAUCAGGUAACAUCAAAUCGUACCCCAAACCGACACAGGUGGUCAGGUAGAGAAUACCAAGGCGCUUGAGAGAACUCGGGUGAAGGAACUAGGCAAAAUGGUGCCGUAACUUCGGGAGAAGGCACGCUGAUAUGUAGGUGAAGCGACUUGCUCGUGGAGCUGAAAUCAGUCGAAGAUACCAGCUGGCUGCAACUGUUUAUUAAAAACACAGCACUGUGCAAACACGAAAGUGGACGUAUACGGUGUGACGCCUGCCCGGUGCCGGAAGGUUAAUUGAUGGGGUUAGCGGUAACGCGAAGCUCUUGAUCGAAGCCCCGGUAAACGGCGGCCGUAACUAUAACGGUCCUAAGGUAGCGAAAUUCCUUGUCGGGUAAGUUCCGACCUGCACGAAUGGCGUAAUGAUGGCCAGGCUGUCUCCACCCGAGACUCAGUGAAAUUGAACUCGCUGUGAAGAUGCAGUGUACCCGCGGCAAGACGGAAAGACCCCGUGAACCUUUACUAUAGCUUGACACUGAACAUUGAGCCUUGAUGUGUAGGAUAGGUGGGAGGCUUUGAAGUGUGGACGCCAGUCUGCAUGGAGCCGACCUUGAAAUACCACCCUUUAAUGUUUGAUGUUCUAACGUUGGCCCCUGAUCGGGGUUGCGGACAGUGUCUGGUGGGUAGUUUGACUGGGGCGGUCUCCUCCUAAAGAGUAACGGAGGAGCACGAAGGUUGGCUAAUCCUGGUCGGACAUCAGGAGGUUAGUGCAAUGGCAUAAGCCAGCUUGACUGCGAGCGUGACGGCGCGAGCAGGUGCGAAAGCAGGUCAUAGUGAUCCGGUGGUUCUGAAUGGAAGGGCCAUCGCUCAACGGAUAAAAGGUACUCCGGGGAUAACAGGCUGAUACCGCCCAAGAGUUCAUAUCGACGGCGGUGUUUGGCACCUCGAUGUCGGCUCAUCACAUCCUGGGGCUGAAGUAGGUCCCAAGGGUAUGGCUGUUCGCCAUUUAAAGUGGUACGCGAGCUGGGUUUAGAACGUCGUGAGACAGUUCGGUCCCUAUCUGCCGUGGGCGCUGGAGAACUGAGGGGGGCUGCUCCUAGUACGAGAGGACCGGAGUGGACGCAUCACUGGUGUUCGGGUUGUCAUGCCAAUGGCACUGCCCGGUAGCUAAAUGCGGAAGAGAUAAGUGCUGAAAGCAUCUAAGCACGAAACUUGCCCCGAGAUGAGUUCUCCCUGACUCCUUGAGAGUCCUGAAGGAACGUUGAAGACGACGACGUUGAUAGGCCGGGUGUGUAAGCGCAGCGAUGCGUUGAGCUAACCGGUACUAAUGAACCGUGAGGCUUAACCUUACAAC
rnacentral:rRNA from 1 species